GACUUGAGUAAAUCGUUUUCACCUUGGACUCUCACCGUUUCCUUAAGAAUAAGAAAUAUAGGAAAUCUGAGCGUCCUCUCCCAGCAAUCCCAAGUUAUUUCGUUGAAAAAAACAUUCAUAAGUUGUCGGACGCUAGAUCCUACAGGACAGGUCUGCUGUAUCGCCGCGCCUAUCAUUGCUGAGGGGUGAGCGCCCUUGCUAUCAGGUAUCAGGCUACUUUAUGUUUAUGCCAUUGCCACUUGCCAGCGGCCGGAUGCCCUCCCCAACUAGAUUACGCGCCCCUAAUUGUACUGCCUCCAGCCACUAUGGUGCCGAAGCUCCAGCCCAUUUAAUCCGAGGUUUUAUCUCUUCUCGACGUCCCAAACGCUUCAUCUCUAUGGUGCUUGGUGAUGGCACAAAUAUGGAAUCGAUGGAUAGUAGGAUUUAUGGAUGCAUAGUUAGAUACUUGAAGAUGAAAAUAUGGAAUAAAAAGAUGCAUACACAGAUGAUUGGAUUCUCAGUACGGUUAUAGAGAGAAAAAUGAUCUAUUACGACAUGCCCAUGCAAGGUGCAGAGGCUAUCAUGCCUCCAUGUCCUCAAGGGGUCAUCCCUAAAUCAGAGAUUGCACAUACUCUUGAAAAACUCCCUGCUCAUUGCUGGCGAGGAGACAUAGGCUCCUGGAUACUUAGAGACAGAACGAUGCCCAUAUGACUGCUAGAACAUAAUGUAAGUAUGAAGCUUCUUAAGUAUGGGAAUUAUUUAUAAGCACAAGUCUUUAGUUCAAAGAUAUGAUCAAACAUCAUGAGCACAGCCCGCAACAAUAUGGCGCUCCUUAGCUCAUGGUGUUUAUAUGGUGGAGAGCACUUUAAGCCUAUAAAAUCGCGCUUAAAGGUUAAAAUCAUCAGCAAACAUUUGGAUUUCAUCUAUGUAUAUGGAAUAAAUAGAUGCAUACACGGAUGAUUGGAUUCUCGGUAUGAUUAGAUAGAGAUAAAUGAUCUAUUGCGACAUGCCCAGGCAAGGUGGAGACGCCGUACAUGCCUCCAUGCCCUUAAGGUCAUGCCUGAAUUAGGGAUUGCACAUACUCUUGCUGAUCUCCCUGGUAGUGUUCGACUCGAUUAAGGAAGUUUGCUUCAUUUAAUUGUACGCUAUUUUCUGAUCUUCUGCAAAUACCAGUGGAAAUAUUUAAGUUAUUCAAAUGUACAAAUGUUGUUUUUCUGCAUCUCACUGGCGGCAAGGAGACAUAGGCUCAUCGAGACUGAGGAAAGAAAGAAGCCGAUAUGACUUCUGGAACAUAACGUAAGUAUGAAGCUAAGUAUGGGAAAUUAUUUGUAAGUACAAGUCUUUAGCUCACAGAUAUGAUCAAACAUCAUGAGUACUGCCAGCAGCAAUAUGGUGGUCCUUAGGUCAUCGUGUUUAUGUUGGAGAGUACUUUGAGUCUAUAAAAUCGCACUUAGAUGUUAAAAUCAUCAGCAAACAACAUUUGGAUUUCAUCUAUAGAUAGUGUGACGGAACUAAAGAAUCACAGUUUUUUAAAUAUUAUAUGAAAUAUAGUAUUUUCUGUAUAGUACAUAAAAUAUAUUGGUAAACAGAACAAUGAUAUAGUUCCGUGAUUUGUUUUAGGCAACUGCUCAAGUCUUGAAGAUGACUAUAACACUAAAGUGAUGUGAAAUAUUAUGAAAAGGUUAUUUUGGAAUAUAUGCAACAUGAUAUUUUUUUCUUGAUCUUCAAUAUCAGUGAACAAGUCAAUAUUUGCAGGAAAAGGUCUCAGACAGUCGGGGUAAUGGGGCGUCUGUGAAGGUCAUGAUAGGUGUGCGACAUCAUCAGCGGACUUCAUAGAAUUUAACAUUAAUUAGAUCUUCCAUGGGACAAACUGCGAGGGGUUGUCUUUGAGUUUGCCCAUGUUGCCAAAAGUGCCAGUUCUGGGAGAAAUUUCUACUUUUUACUUGAUCCAAUAUACGGGCACACUAAUAGUUCAGUAGCCUUUGUCGGUUGUCAAUAUCGUCAUUGGUCAAGCUUCUCUAGGUGUGAAGAUUGUCUGUACUCAAUUUCUCGCCCAGUUCCUAUAUAGACUUUUUAGUCCGUUGGUUCAA